rnacentral:rRNA from 1 species
AAAUUGAAGAGUUUGAUCAUGGCUCAGAUUGAACGCUGGCGGCAGGCCUAACACAUGCAAGUCGAGCGGUAGCACAGAGAGCUUGCUCUCGGGUGACGAGCGGCGGACGGGUGAGUAAUGUCUGGGAAACUGCCUGAUGGAGGGGGAUAACUACUGGAAACGGUAGCUAAUACCGCAUAAUGUCGCAAGACCAAAGUGGGGGACCUUCGGGCCUCAUGCCAUCAGAUGUGCCCAGAUGGGAUUAGCUAGUAGGUGGGGUAACGGCUCACCUAGGCGACGAUCCCUAGCUGGUCUGAGAGGAUGACCAGCCACACUGGAACUGAGACACGGUCCAGACUCCUACGGGAGGCAGCAGUGGGGAAUAUUGCACAAUGGGCGCAAGCCUGAUGCAGCCAUGCCGCGUGUGUGAAGAAGGCCUUCGGGUUGUAAAGCACUUUCAGCGGGGAGGAAGGCGGUGAGGUUAAUAACCUCACCGAUUGACGUUACCCGCAGAAGAAGCACCGGCUAACUCCGUGCCAGCAGCCGCGGUAAUACGGAGGGUGCAAGCGUU